rnacentral:tRNA from 1 species
ACCUGGGUGGCUCAAUUGGUUGAGUGCCUGACUUUGGAUCAGGUCAUGAUCUCACGGUUCGUGAGUUCAAGCCCCACAUAGGGCU